GCUGAGCUCCGUAACGUGGGCUUGUGACCCAAGCGUGGGCAAUUAUGUGAUUGGAUAUGUUUUGAUUGAUUCAAUAGGUGAGGCUUGAGCCAUUACUUGGUUGGAUUGCGUUGUUGUGUACCGAUCAAUUGAGUACUUGAACACGUUUAAUUGUCUUGACAGAGCAGGCCGUGAUUAAUUAAUCGAGUACGUGUGAUGCGUGCAGGACUGCAGGUUAAUUGUCUUGGUUCGACCUCACCUAUUAUACUAACUUGGACUUUCACAUUU
rnacentral:SRP_RNA from 1 species